rnacentral:tRNA from 1 species
CCAAAUUUAGUUUUAGCGAAUAUCUCUUUGUUAAUGAGAAGGCUUAGUUUUUGGU